rnacentral:rRNA from 1 species
UACACUCCUACGGGAGGCAGCAGUGGGGAAUAUUGGACAAUGGGCGCAAGCCUGAUCCAGCCAUGCCGCGUGAGUGAUGAAGGCCCUAGGGUUGUAAAGCUCUUUCACCGGUGAAGAUAAUGACGGUAACCGGAGAAGAAGCCCCGGCUAACUUCGUGCCAGCAGCCGCGGUAAUACGAAGGGGGCUAGCGUUGUUCGGAUUUACUGGGCGUAAAGCGCACGUAGGCGGACUAUUAAGUCAGGGGUGAAAUCCCGGGGCUCAACCCCGGAACUGCCUUUGAUACUGGUAGUCUUGAGUUCGAGAGAGGUGAGUGGAAUUCCGAGUGUAGAGGUGAAAUUCGUAGAUAUUCGGAGGAACACCAGUGGCGAAGGCGGCUCACUGGCUCGAUACUGACGCUGAGGUGCGAAAGCGUGGGGAGCAAACAGGAUUAGAUACCCGUGUAGUCCC